rnacentral:rRNA from 1 species
UACGUAGGGUGCGAGCGUUGUCCGGAAUUAUUGGGCGUAAAGAGCUUGUAGGCGGCUUGUCGCGUCUGCCGUGAAAAUUCGAGGCUCAACCUCGAACUUGCGGUGGGUACGGGCAGACUAGAGUGUGGUAGGGGAGACUGGAAUUCCUGGUGUAGCGGUGAAAUGCGCAGAUAUCAGGAGGAACACCGAUGGCGAAGGCAGGUCUCUGGGCCACUACUGACGCUGAGAAGCGAAAGCAUGGGGAGCGAACAGG